rnacentral:rRNA from 1 species
GGUGAACGCUGGCGGUAGGCCUAACACAUGCAAGUCGAACGGCAGCACAGGAGAGCUUGCUCCCUGGGUGGCGAGUGGCGGACGGGUGAGGAAUACAUCGGAAUCUACUCUGUCGUGGGGGAUAACGUAGGGAAACUUACGCUAAUACCGCAUACGACCUACGGGUGAAAGCAGGGGACCUUCGGGCCGUGCGCGAUCGAAUGAGCCGAGGUCGGAUUAGCUAGUUGGCGGGGUAAAGGCCCACCAAGGCGACGAUCCGUAGCUGGUCUGAGAGGAAGAUCGGCCACACUGGAAGUGAGGCACGGUCCAGACUCCUAGGGGAGGCAGCAGUGGGGAAUAUUGGACAAUGGGCGCAAGCCUGAUCCAGCCAUACCGCGUGGGUGAAGAAGGCCUUCGGGUUGUAAAGCCCUUUUGUUGGGAAAGAAAUCCAGCUGGCUAAUACCCGGUUGGGAUGACGGUACCCAAAGAAUAAGCACCGGCUAACUUCGUGCCAGCCGCCGCCGUAA